GGGUCUGUGCAAUAGCAGAUUUUGCUGCCUCACUAUACAUGGCUUCCUUCCUGGCCCACCCACUUUCCUAUGAGAAGCUGAGCCCCUCAGCAAAACUUCUGCACUUUAGGAAUUUAUACAAGGGUAAUGGGGGAAGAGAGGAAGAGGUGGGAACUUUUUUAAUGACAUGGCUUUUCUGCUGAUGUAAUUCUCCUGCUCCAAAAUUAGAAUCAGCUAUAGAGGAAGGGAGA